rnacentral:rRNA from 1 species
AAUGGCCUAAUGGCUGAACCAGCAACUUGGAGGAAUGUAUAUUGACUACGUCAAAUAAAGUUCUAGUGGAAUAAUGAUAAUGACAAUUUUCUAUUACAUGUCUUGACCAAAUCACGUGCCAGCAGUCGCGGUAAUACGUGGAAGACAAGUGUUAUUCAUCUUUAAUAGGUUUAAAGGGUACCUAGACGGUAUUUUUAGCCCAAAAUAGGGGACGGAUUUACUAGAGUUUAGAUGUGAGAAGGGGAGUAUUUUUAGUGUAGAGAUAGAAUUCUGUCAUACUUCAAGGACUGGCAAAGGCGCAAGCAACCUUCUAUGUAAAAACUGACGUUGAGGGACGAAGGCUUGGGGAGCAAUAAGGAUUAGAUACCCUAGUAGUCCAAGCAGAGAAUUAUGAAUGCCACACGCUAGAUUGAUUUAGUGUGUAAAUAAAAGUGUAAGCAUUCCACCUCAAGAGUAAUGUGGCAACGCAGGAACUGAAAUCAUUAGGCCGUUUCUGAAACCAGUAGUGAUGUAUGUUAUUUAAUUCGAUGAUCCUCGAAAAACCUUACCACAAUUUGAAUAGUUACAAGCGCUGCACGGCUGUCUCCAGUUAAUGUCGUGAGAUUUUGGUUACGCCUAAAAAUUAACGUAAACCCUUACUUUAUUUAACUUUUUUUUAAUAAAGUACUUGACCGCUAUAUUGGUUAUUAUAAAAGGGACUAAGACAAGUCAUCAUGGCCUUAAUAUUGUGGGCUAUAGACGUGCCGCAUAUGCCUACACAAAGAGAUGCAAAAAUGUGAAUUAGAGCUAAUCUCCCAAAAUAGGAUAUAAUAA